rnacentral:lncRNA from 9 species
GAACUCCCUAAUUUCCUAAUUUGUGCCAGGAACCUAAGGUUUAGAGAAGUUAAGGAGUUUACUUAAGGUCACUUAGCUGCUGUGGAAGCCCAGCUCUGUCUGUUUCCAAAGCUUAUUCUUGUUCCUCUACAUUCUUUCUCCAUCUUUCAAUCUAGGGCCUCUCUGUCAGAAAUUCCGUAAAGGCCUAGUAUGUUUGUCCCUGAGGUGGUAGGAAUUGUGAUGAUAGAAAUAGUAGUGCUGUCGCACCCUCUUUAUAAUUUACAUACACGUUCCUAUGUCUCACUUCAGUUUCUUAUAGCGUCAGGGUAAUGAACCCAUUUUAUAGAUAAGGACAAAGAAGCUAGAAUUUCUGUCUUUUUGUUGUUGUUGUUGUUGUUGUUGUUGCUAUUUCUUGGGCCGCUCCUGCGGCAUAUGGAGGUUCCCAGGCUAGGGGUUGAAUCGGAGCUGUAGCCACCGGCCUACGCCAGAGCCACAGCAACGCGGGAUCCGAGCCACGUCUGCAACCUACACCACAGCUCACGGCAAUGCCGGAUGGUUAACCCACUGAGCAAGGGCAGGGACCGAACCCGGGACCUCAUGGUUCCUAGUCGGAUUUGUUAACCACUGCGCCACGACGGGAACUCCCAGAAGCUAGAAUUUCUAAACUCUCUUUUGUACUUUCUCCUUCCCUCCCUGGGUGCAAAAAUCCAUGUGUCAGACUUUGUACUUUGUACCCUGUCCAGGAGCAUCAAACCAGGAGAGAACCAGAGGGGUCUGUGUCGGAGGCCAGGCUCUGAGGGCAUCCUCCGCAGCAUCCCACACAGCCUUGCUCGGCCCUCCCUGGUGAUGGUGUGUCAUCAGCCUCCGUGGCUUCUCUGCAAGCCAGAGACCUGUUGCACGUCUGCUUCGCUGCCGCCUGUGUGUGCAUCCGUUUUGUUUUCCACCCUCGUCAACUGUCAGCUUUCCUAGACAAGGGCUCCUAAUGGCUGAGGAGAGUUAAUGAGCACCAUUCUCUGGAGAGCUGGGAGAAGAACCCAGAUUGAUCCAAUUUUGCCUUCCAAUCCAUGCUGUAUCUCUAUUUGUUCUAGUAUUAAGAUGUUUUAAAUGACCUAACUUUGAAUGAAUCGAAGUCUCUGGAUGCAUGAGCUGCCUCUGUCCCUGGCUUCCUGGAUCCCCUGACACAUCACUACAGAGCCUGGGGAUGCAUGUGCCUCAGUGAGAGAAACCUGGCAACAGGACUUUCCCACAGGUAUAAAAGAGCAGGAGUCAGGUACUUUUUUUUUUUUUUUUUUUUUUUGUUGUUGUUGUUGUUUCAGGGCUGUACCCACAGCAUAUGGAAGUUUCCAGGCUAGGGGUCGAAUUGGAGCUGCAGCUGCCAGCCUACCCCACAGCCAUAGCAACACCUGAUCCGAGCUGCAUCUGUGACCAACACCACAGCUCCACGGCUCACGGCAAUGCCAGAUCCUUAACCCACUGAGCAAGACUGGGGAUCGAACCACAUCUUCAUGGAUACUAGUUGGGUUCUUAACCCACUGAGACACAGCAGGAACUCCUCUACCAUAUAAGGCAUCUUAUUGAUUUUUAGGGCUGCAUCUGCAGCACAUGCAAGUUCCCAGGCUAGGGGUCGAAUCAGAGCUUCAGCUGCUGAUCUAGACCAUAGCCACAGCAAUACCAGAUCUGAGCCACGUCUGCUGCCUACACCACAGCUCAUGGCAAUUCCAGAUCCUUAACCCACUGAGUGAGACCAGGGACCAAACCCACAUCCUCAUGGAUACUAGUUGGGUUUGUAACCCACUGAGCCACGUGGGAACUCCCAGGAGUCUGCUACUUUAAAAAGGAGAGAGAAAAGUCCAAAGGACAAAAAGCCUCUGAGUUCCCUAGUAGCAAGGACAAAACAAGAAAUCUCAAAUACACAUUUAAAUCAACCAAGCCCAAGACAUUUGUGAAAAAUGCAUUUUUUUCUUUUGUUGAAAUAUGAUCAGAGAAAGACAUGGUUGAGUCUAUCAGUAUAGAUUACUUAUUAUUCCUUGUAACUGCAGCUUUGGAUACCUGUUGACUACCUAUAUGCAUUUUGCCCCAGGUAUGAAGAGUUGUCUGUUGACAUUCAUUUCCUGAGUAUAUUCUAGAGGUUUACAAACUUUCUUGUACCUUUGAAUCACCUGUGGAGUUUUAGUACAGUCCAAAUGCCUAGGCUUCACCUGAUGCCAGUUAAAUCAGAAUCGCUGAAGUUGGCAGAGGAGGUAGGAGCUAGGCAUCAGCAUUAUGUUUUUUAAAGUUUCCUGGGAGAUUACAGUGCAUGGCGCAGUUUGAGAUCAGUGAUUCUCAAACUUGAGUGUGUAUCAGACUCACGUGGAGGGUUUGCUACAACAGAUUGCUGAGCUCCACCUCCAGCUUUUCCCAGUAACUUGGCUUCACAUGGAGCUUGAGUAUUUGCAUUGCUGCUGGUCUGGGGAGCAAACUUUAAGAACCAUUGUUCUAGAGUUUCAAGAGUGUUAAUAUUGCCAGAAUAGAUGGGAUGGAAGUUUUCAAAAUCUAAAGAUGAAUUUGGGUUAGUUCGGCAAAACCAGGCUAUGUAGCAGGGCUUGGGAAAUACUUGUAUAAUGGUGCUCUUCUGCUAAAGUGGGCACAUUUGAUUGAUUGACAAUAUGUUUGUCGCAGUUGGAUUUAGCUCAGGUCUUAGCAACCCAGCCAAUCUUUUUCCUAUGGGUUAAUGCUGUUCCCUAAAUGCAAAAUAGGGAAAAUGUUCUUUCAUUGCUGUUGUUUAACACUGGUGUCCUGAGUGGUGUUGUGGUGUACUGUGACUGUUGUGUCAUUACUCCCAGGGUUUGGUAGUUGCAGUGGCUGCUGAGAUGCUGUGGA